rnacentral:rRNA from 1 species
UGGGUGGCGAGUGGCGGACGGGUGAGUAAUGCAUCGGGAUCUACCCUGACGUGGGGGAUAACCUCGGGAAACCGGGACUAAUACCGCAUACGUCCUACGGGAGAAAGCGGGGGACCUUCGGGCCUCGCGCGGCAGGACGAACCGAUGUGCGAUUAGCUAGUUGGCGGGGUAAUGGCCCACCAAGGCGACGAUCGCUAGCUGGUCUGAGAGGAUGAUCAGCCACACUGGGACUG